CAUCUGCAGCGGGGGUAGGUUGUGGUCAGUACAAGCAGAUCACUAAAAAAAGGCCAGACUCGGUAGCUGUUAGUCUCCUAGCAGAAAAAUCCCAUCAUUCUCUGCAUUCUUAACACAUUCAGGACUCAGAUUUCAGUCUACCGGCAGAGCUUCAGGAAAAGUGUGGGGGUGGAAUCUUGGGCUGACUGCACUGGAAAAGCUGCUGCUUUCUGCAGAUUUGAAUUUUAGUGAGGCAGCCAUCUACCAACCAUGCUAUACUGAUUAUUGCAGCCAAACAUGUGACCAGAGAGGGGAAGUAGCAGUGGUAACCACUGUGCCACCAUGAAAUAAAAUUAUAUUUGGAGCCCACAAUAAUCAGAGUCUCAUGAAUCCAUCAGGAUCAACAGAAAAUAAGGAUUCAGUACUACAAGGCAACAUGGUGUUCCUCCCAAAGGUCAUCAACCCCUCACAUCUUACCUGCCAGAACACAAUGAAAGAGUGGAUUAGUGGUUCAAACCCAAACCAGAACAAGGAGUGAACAAAACUUUCUUAUAACUAUGUGCAUGUAUUAGUAUUCCUCUAUUCAGAGCUCUUGUACUAUCUGUAACACAGACAUCAUAGUGUACCUCUGCAAUAUUUUGCGGUUAUAUCUUAAGUGCAGGUAUAUGUUGUGAAAUGUUUGGUCAUUUUUUUGUUACAUUUCUACAUGGUAACAUAUAAAUUACUGCUAAAUAAUAUCUACUCUAACUUGAAGUGAAAAAAUAUUGUGCUUGUGUAGGUGAUACAAUGCAAGCGUAAUGAGCUUCCUGGUAAAAAAUAAACCCACUUCUUUAACGCAGAAAACUCCAUCAGAAAAAUGCAUACCUUCACC